AGCGAACGCUGGCGGCAGGCCUAACACAUGCAAGUCGAACGAAGUCUUCGGACUUAGUGGCGGACGGGUGAGUAACACGUGGGAACGUGCCUUUAGGUUCGGAAUAACGCAGGGAAACUUGUGCUAAUACCGAAUGUGCCCUUCGGGGGAAAGAUUUAUCGCCUUUAGAGCGGCCCGCGUCUGAUUAGCUAGCUGGUGAGGUAAAGGCUCACCAAGGCGACGAUCAGUAGCUGGUCUGGGAGGAUGAUCAGCCACAUUGGGACUGAGACACGGCCCAAACUCCUACGGGAGGCAGCAGUGGGGAAUCUUGCGCAAUGGGCGAAAGCCUGACGCAGCCAUGCCGCGUGAAUGAUGAGGGUCUUAGGAUUGUAAAAUUCUUUCACCGGGGAUGAUAAUGACGGUACCCGGAGAAGAAGCCCCGGCUAACUUCGUGCCAGCAGCCGCCGUAACAC
rnacentral:rRNA from 1 species